rnacentral:rRNA from 1 species
AAAGCCAGUCACAUGAUCCCAGACACACCUACCCUUACCUGAUUUUGAAAGCUAAGUAGGGUAGGCCUGAAUAGUACUUGGAUAGGAGGCCCCAACAGAUACUGGAUGCUGGAUUGG